UCCCAUCACUUGUGUCGACAUGGAUAGU
rnacentral:piRNA from 1 species